ACACUUGAAGCCGGUGCCCGAACCCGCAAGGGGCGGAGCCGUCGAGGGUGGGGCUGGUGACUGGGACGAAGUCGUAACAAGGUAGCCGUAGCGGAAGCUGCGGCUGGAUCACCUCCUUU
rnacentral:rRNA from 1 species